UACGUAGGGGGCAAGCGUUGUCCGGAAUCAUUGGGCGUAAAGAGCGUGUAGGCGGCUCGAUAAGUCCGCUCUGAAAGCCCGGGGCUCAACCCCGGGAGGCGGGCGGAUACUGUCGAGCUAGAGUCCGGAAGAGGCGAGUGGAGUUCCUGGUGUAGCGGUGAAAUGCGCAGAUAUCAGGAGGAACACCAAUGGCGAAGGCAGCUCGCUGGGACGGUACUGACGCUGAGACGCGAAAGCGUGGGGAGCAAACAGG
rnacentral:rRNA from 1 species